AACAGUCGAAACUAGAAAAAAGAUAAAAGGAUAAAAGGAAAAACAUGAAGAUAAUUCUAGGAAACAUUUUCAUUCUGUGUUUGGUAUAUGUAAUGCUGUCAAGUGCAUUUGCUGGAGAAAAAAUUGUUGACGUUUAUUGCUUGGAAACAGCCGAAGAAGAGUCAGCCUCGUGUUUGUACAAGAACGCCAUUUGGACAUAUGAUGCGGAACUAGGAUCAUGUGUUGCUAAAAUAGGCUGUUAUCCGAGCUAUGCUCCAGAAAACAACGUCUUCAGACAACCCAAUCAUUGCCUGUCAUGGUGCAUCAAAGCAUAAGACAAGAAAAUAUGUUGCAGAGAAUACUUCUUUCUCCUUUAGUUAAGAAUAAAAGUAAUUAAUGUUUUGUUAAAUUAAAUGAUUACGCUUCUAACAUUCUCUUUAAAAUAUAGAUUCGAUAUAAAGACAAAAGCACAUUCAAACAAACAUUAUUAUACGGAACUAUUGUUUCAUUUACGAUGCAAUGUUAAGCUGAAUAAUUCAAUCAAUCUUAAAAAACAUAUUUUGAUUUAAUAAAACUGUAUAUAUCAGAAAUAAAACUUUGUUUCAUUCUUUAACUGAUGUUUAGUGCCUUUGCAUUAAUUUUUAAAAUUUCAUGAUAUUUGAGUCAUUUUCUAUAUUAAAGUAUGAUAGUACAUUUUUUCAACAGAAAAAAAUCUUUAUAAAACAUUGUUACAAUGGGGACCAUUACAGGAAAGCUUUAUCUCAUGUAUAGAUAACAAUUCUAGUUUGGAACCAAAGUUUUUUGUACUGAUUUUCAUUUCAAGUAGCUAGAAUAAAAUUUAUACCUAACAUUAUUCUAUAUUAACAUUUUAAUUUCUGUUUGCUUUAGAUAUACAUUAUCAAUUUCUUAUUCUUUGCAAGAUUUCUUUAAAAUGAAGCUGGUGGUUGUGGAUAGUCCAAACAAUAUGAGCUAAAUACACUGUCAAUGUUAUACUUAUUUAAAGAUGAAUGUCACAUGUAAUCAACUGUUUAAUGUUUCGAAUAUUCUGGAAUACGUAAACCUCCAAGAGCAAAAAAAUAGGACGCUUUUCAUAUUUGUUAUGACUAAACAUAUAUCAGAGCUGUGCUGGUAAAGUUUUAGCCGUACAUUAAGGUGUUGGUUCAAUGACUAUGAAGGAAUUAAAGUGGUUUUAACUUUGUCA